AACGGUAGAGUAGCAAUACUCGAGAGUGGCGAACGGGUGAGUAAUAUAUCGGAACGUGCCCAGUCGUGGGGGAUAACGUAGAGAAAUUUACGCUAAGUACCGCAUACUAUCUACGGAUGAAAGCGGGGGAUUCGCAAGAACCUCGCGCGAUUGGAGCGGCUGAUAUCAGAUUAGGUUGUUGGUGAGGUAAAAGCUCACCAAGCCGACGAUCUGUAGCUGGUUUGAGAGAACGACCAGCCACACUGGGACUGAGACACGGCCCAGACUCCUACGGGAGGCAGCAGUGGGGAAUUUUGGACAAUGGGCGAAAGCCUGAUCCAGCAAUGCCGCGUGUGGGAAGAAGGCCUUCGGGUUGUAAACCACUUUUGUACGGAACAAAACGGUUCGCUUUAAUACAGUGGGCUAAUGACGGUACCGUAAGAAUAAGCACCGGCUAACUACGUGCCAGCAGCCGCGGUAAUACGUAGGGUGCGAGCGUUAAUCGGAAUUACUGGGCGUAAAGCGUGCGCAGGCGGUUAUAUAAGACAGUUGUGAAAUCCCCGGGCUCCACCUGGGAAUUGCAUCUGUGACUGUAUAGCUAGAGUACGGUAGAAGGGGA
rnacentral:rRNA from 1 species